GAUGAACGCUGGCGGCGUGCCUAAUACAUGCAAGUCGAGCGAACAGAUAAGGAGCUUGCUCCUUUGACGUUAGCGGCGGACGGGUGAGUAACACGUGGGUAACCUACCUAUAAGACUGGGAUAACUUCGGGAAACCGGAGCUAAUACCGGAUAACAUUUGGAACCGCAUGGUUCUAAAGUGAAAGAUGGUUUUGCUAUCACUUAUAGAUGGACCCGCGCCGUAUUAGCUAGUUGGUAAGGUAACGGCUUACCAAGGCGACGAUACGUAGCCGACCUGAGAGGGUGAUCGGCCACACUGGAACUGAGACACGGUCCAGACUCCUACGGGAGGCAGCAGUAGGGAAUCUUCCGCAAUGGGCGAAAGCCUGACGGAGCAACGCCGCGUGAGUGAUGAAGGGGUUCGGCUCGUAAAACUCUGUUAUUAGGGAAGAACAAAUGUGUAAGUAACUGUGCACGUCGUGACGGUACCUAAUCAGAAAGCCACGGCUAACUACGUG
rnacentral:rRNA from 1 species